UACGGAGGGUGCGAGCGUUGUUCGGAAUUACUGGGCGUAAAGCGCGUGCAGGCGGCCGACUAAGUCAGGUGUGAAAGCCCGGGGCUCACCUCCGGAAGUGCGCUUGAAACUGGUCGGCUAGAGUACGGGAGAGGGAAGCGGAAUUCCUGGUGUAGCGGUGAAAUGCGCAGAUAUCAGGAGGAACACCAAUAGCGAAGGCAGCUCGCUGGGACGGUACUGACGCUAAGGCGCGAAAGCGUGGGGAGCGAACAGG
rnacentral:rRNA from 1 species